UACAGAGGUCCCAAGCGUUGUUCGGAUUCACUGGGCGUAAAGGGUGCGUAGGUGGCAAGGUAAGUUUGAUGUGAAAUCUUCGAGCUCAACUCGGAAACUGCAUUGAAUACUAUCUUGCUUGAGGAUUGGAGGGGAGAUCGGAAUUCCUGGUGUAGCGGUGAAAUGCGCAGAUAUCAGGAGGAACACCGGUGGCGAAGGCGGAUCUCUGGGCCAUUACUGACGCUGAGGAGCGAAAGCGUGGGGAGCGAACAGG
rnacentral:rRNA from 1 species